UUAUAAUAGCCUCACCCGCCUUGGCUUCAAGUUCAUCUGGUCGUUCAGCAGCAAAAUCGAAUUGCACAAUUCCAAAUAGCGGCUGUGAACCAGAAUGGAGUUCACUGAUUGAGCUCCUAGUGGUACUAGAAUUGGUGGUUAAGUCUGUAAAUGAUAUUUGCCCGCUGCCAUCACUGUCUCGUUCCGAUUUGACCGUUUUUCCUAUCUCUUCAAAAUGAGAUACUGGAACAAAGCCACGAGUACCUGCAGCGGGAUUACAAACUUCGUACCAAGCCUUGUCAUUUUCACGACCUAUAACAUGAAAAAAGUCACCCUUGGCAAAUGAAACUUCAGUUGCUUUACGAGCUGUGUAAUCAUAAAGGGCCCUAAUAACUUUUCUCGGGGGUUCAAUUGAAAAAGGAUCUUUAUCAAGAAUUCGACUAUGAGUUUUCCAAGUCCUUUUAAUCUAGAGAUGGUUAAUAAUUGAUUAAUUAACAAAAAAUUUUUUUUGAAGCAUACCUUUAACAUAGAGACUGGAAUUAGAACAAAAAGAAAGAAGGUAGUAGAACAAAAUUUGAAAUUAUAUUACAAUAAUCUCAGAAAGAUUCUAACUAUUAGAAUUCCCUGCAACAAAAAGAUUUAACUUAAUUUUCAUAAAACGAUCAAGUGGAAAUUAUAAUUACAGACAAACUGUUAAAGCGAUAACCUACUGUAAGGGUAUAUGAAUUAAGAUCCGAGAUAGCAAAAGGAAUGUAUGAAGAAAAGGCAAAAAGAAUGGCACGGAUUUAAAGAAAGCAAUAUAUUGUAAAUGAAUCAAUAAUUAAUUUCCAAACACUUUGAAAACGCUGUCGUUUUUAUGAAAGAUGAGUAUACAGGAUAUAAUAUUCUCACAAAACAGACAAAAUCGAUUUGUUAGCACGUUGUAAUUAGAAAGAACGAAGAAGCUAGCAGACACUCAAUUAUAGUGACUGAACUGCUGAGCCCUGAAAGAUAGAUGAAGGAAGAAAAGGACGGGAAAAGAGGCUUAAUAUAGAACAAUGAGAGUUGGUCCAAGCAGCAAAGUAAUAUAUUAGAAGAAUACAAACUCAACAAUUUUAAACAAGGAAACGUAUUAA